UCCGUAGGUGAACCUGCGGAAGGAUCAUUAUCGAAUUACGGCCGAGGGUUGUCGCUGGCCUCUCGGGGCAUGUGCACGCCCGAGCCAUCCCCAACAAACGCCGUGGGCCUUCGGGCCCGCGUAUAUUUACUCUGAAUGUGUAUAGAAUGUAAACCAUUUGUUUGCCCUGAAAAAGCAAACGAAAAAUAGUACAACUUUCAACAACGGAUCUCUUGGCUCUCGCAUCGAUGAAGAACGCAGCGAAAUGCGAUAAGUAAUGUGAAUUGCAGAUUUUCAGUGAAUCAUCGAAUCUUUGAACGCACCUUGCGCCCCUUGGUAUUCCGAGGGGCAUGCCUGUUUGAGUGUCAUUAAAUCCUCAACCGCGCCGAUUGAUUUUCGGUGGGGCUUGGACUUUGGAGCGUGCUGGCGAAGGUCGGCUCCUCUUUAAAUGCAUCAGCGGAAGAAACCUUUGUCUUUCCCGCCUUCGGUGUGAUAAUUGUGUUGCGCCGUGGUGGAACUUCAACGAUCCGCUUACAAUGGUCUUCGGACGAAACCUCAUGUCAUCUUGACCUCAAAUCAGGUAGGACUACCCGCUGAACUUAAGCAUAUCAAUAAGCGGAGGAA
rnacentral:rRNA from 1 species